rnacentral:rRNA from 1 species
GAUGAACGCUGGCGGCGUGCCUAAUACAUGCAAGUCGAGCGAACGGACGAGAAGCUUGCUUCUCUGAUGUUAGCGGCGGACGGGUGAGUAACACGUGGAUAACCUACCUAUAAGACUGGGAUAACUUCGGGAAACCGGAGCUAAUACCGGAUAAUAUUUUGAACCGCAUGGUUCAAAAGUGAAAGACGGUCUUGCUAUCACUUAUAGAUGGAUCCGCGCUGCAUUAGCUAGUUGGUAAGGUAACGGCUUACCAAGGCAACGAUGCAUAGCCGACCUGAGAGGGUGAUCGGCCACACUGGAACUGAGACACGGUACAGACUCCUACGGGAGGCAGCAGUAGGGAAUCUUCCGCAAUGGGCGAAAGCCUGACGGAGCAACGCCGCGUGAGUGAUGAAGGUCUUCGGAUCGUAAAACUCUGUUAUUAGGGAAGAACAUAUGUGUAAGUAACUGUGCACAUCUUGACGGUACCUAAUCAGAAAGCCACGGCUAACUACGUG